GCAGUCUCUGCAGUCUCACGAUCGAACGUGUACUGGUAUUACUUUAUGCUACUUGUCAAGCUCGCUGUCGUAUAACAACCGUAUUAAGACGAAUCUCUAUGCUGGCACGGCAUGACAAUUUAGGGGGAGUGAUGCGCCAUCGUGAAGAUAGAUAAAAACCAACCAAUCCAACCAUUAGAGCAAUCCAGAAGCCUGCAACAUAAAGCGAAUCGGUCUCAGGUAGUGCAGCAAUCCUAAGAGGAGAAGCCAGGUCCAGAACGAAAGAAAUACGAUUAGCAGUAGCAGCCGACGAGUGGGUAUCAGCGAAAUCCGAGAAAGCACCGAUUUAUCGCAAUGGUGAUGGUGACUCGCUGAUUAGCAGACAGAAAUCAGCAUACGAUUCGCUACGUUAUUGUAAGUUUUUAGCAAUUAAGAAAAGCGCAUAAACAUUGUCGAAGAGCGAGAUUAGUCGUCCCGUGAAAAGAAACGCGUCGUUACAUAACGAACCGGUCCGACGAGCGUCUAGGCCUAACCUCCUAAGCCCUUUAAGCAGAAAAAGCGUACGUAGAAAUCUAAAAGCGCAUUAUUCUAGCGAAAGCUCUCCGACCGAAACCAGAGUUACAUCCGGAUACAGUUGAUUGAGCGCGUAUUCCUGUUCGAGGGACACAGAUACCAGUUCAAUACAAUAAGUUAAUUGCUUUAAUGAAAAUAGACUACGCCCGAUAGGAACUUAGGCAUGAUCGGAGAACUCAGGCUGAACGAACAGUAGAAUCUCGCAUAUAAGAGAGUUGUCGCUAACAUUUUACGAUAACAACGUAUUUCACCUGAAAGAAUUCUACCACGUCACGUGAAGAGGCAAUACUCUGUAUGAAAUUAAAAGGAAAAACAAUGAUCAACUUUGAAAUUAGGGAUAUAGGAAGUUGUCCACAACUUUAAGCGAAGUUAGAAAGUUAUUUAAGAAAACAAAGCACUAUUCGUCUACAGAUUGAAUUUAAUUCAUUAAAGCAGAAACUUAGCGAGAGUGUACGCGCAUACGGACUCAGAGUCGACCAUUUACUAAUAGAAUAAUACAAAUUAGUGACAGAAAGCUAAAGGUACAGUAGCGAGCAGAAACGCGUCACUAUCCAAAAACAGGUCGAAGUCUUUCGCACCAAGAAGAAUAAAGAAUUCGACACUGAAUUCCAGGCUGAAAUUAAAAAUAUCAGAAUGUCACUUGGGUAUUCGUGGCACAAUAGAUGUCGGACUCUUGAAAUUAUUAAACCACAACGUGAAAUUCCUAUUGAUACGGAUAUCCUUGGUGAUUUGUGUAAGUUAAUCGCUGAAGUAUUGCAUGGCACAUGCAACAUUGCACCUGCGCACCUUGAUCCAAUUCUAAAAAAGGCUCUUGAUAAAAAAGAAUCCAUUGAAUAUGACGCUGAAACACUUAUGUGGGUGUCUGCCUUGCAAGUUGAAAGUAAGAUGUUUGCAGCAAGACGCCAUACUAAUUUUCCCCCUAACUUGGAUCGGGAAGUGUUUUCCCGUGUUGAGCGUACCAACACGCUCCUUUCAGAUACUCUUUACCCAUUGGCAGUAGUUCUUAAUGAGAUUGGUCAAUUUACCGUUGAAGGCCAAAUGUUUGUACCUCGCUAUAAUGGUGAGCGUGAUUUUUCUUAUCAUAAGCUAUUCAAUGAUCAAAAUAAAUCGCGCAGUCAUUUCAAGAACUUGGUUACACCUCCUAUAUUACUUGGAUCGUCUGAGACUUUUCCGACCUUUGAGGAAAUCCGUAAUCGAUAUGUUAAGCUGAAAGGUCGUAUGUAUGCAGCUAAGCUGUAUAAUGUGUUUCGUCCCGUUGAAAUGUCAGAGAGAAGAGGCGGUAAAUCUCAACUAGUUUACCGUCAGCGACAAGGCGAUUCUGACGAUUUCAAAGUUUGGUCUCCAAGACGUGUUGGAUCCGAUUCUUUAGAAAUUGGUGCGAUUUUAAGAUUUGGAUAUCCAAAUCCGCUUGGCGAUAUUAGUGUCGCUGCAGAGAUGACUUUUACUAGUAAUACAUCUGUUGGUUUGUCGUUCUUGGUAGAUGAGUUGAUUUAUAAUAAGUUAGUCAGAUAACUUUAUCUUCCUGUGUGUGACGCGUUGAUCCGAGAAAUCAUGAUCGAAAAUACGCAGUAUGGGUUUUCUAUUUAUGUAACCGUCUACUACCGUCAGGUUUUCGAAUUUAAGAUCCGUUGUACGGAUGCUCUCCAAUCCUGCAACUCCUCGAGAUGUCCGGCGAUAUUUUUACGAUCGCUCACCACUUCCUGGUGCUAAGUGGGGUGGAGAUCCAGCACCCCAAGCGCAUGGGCGUAGAUUAAGUGAGGGUGAUCUUGCUGCACCAAUUCGAGUAGACGUUGGUGAUUUCCCGGUGCUGUUAAACCCUGAUGACUUUAUGCCACAGGAGUAUUCACGCGACAACGAUCUUCUCGCUGAUGUCUCGGCCAUUCAAAACCUUUUGCAGUGUAUUGGACGGAAAUAUUCUAAGUACGUCUAUUGUCAUCGGAUUGAAUACAGAGGCAUGGGUCAGGCAUCGCUUCUGGUCAGCAACGGCACGGGAACCCUUCGUUGCCACGAUCUUCCCCGAGUGCGCGACGAUUCUAUGGAAAUAGACUUUGCCGCGAGGAUGGGUUUAACUGGAGAGACCAGUCACUUUUGGACACCAGAGUGCUUGACAAAUCCCGAAUUCUAUCUCGGAAUUGCUCAUCUUCUCGGUGAACAACCGCAUAAGACAUCUGAUGCUUACGCGAUUCGCUCAUCUACAAUUGCGAAGAAAACGGCUCGUAUGCAGUAUAUAGCUGUCUUAUGCAACUUAAACAACUCAAUUAUGUUUUAACAAUUAAAGAAUUCGACACUGAAUUCCAGGCUGAAAUUAAAAAUAUCAGAAUGUCACUUAGGUAUUCGUUGCCCAGUAAAUGUUAGACUUCUGCAAUUAUUAAACAUUAACGUGAAAUUCCCAUUGAUACGGAUAUCCUUGGUGAUUUGUGCAAGUUAGUCGCUAAAGUAUUGCAUUGCGCAUCCAACAUUGCACCUGCGCUUGAUCCAAUUCUAAAAAAGACUCUUGAUAAAAAAAAAUCCAUUGAAUAUGACGUUGAAACACUUAUGUGGGUGUCUGCAAGUUGAAAGUAAGAUGUUUGCAGCAAGAUGCAAUACCAACUUUCCCUCUAAUUUGGAAGUGUUUUCCCGUGUUAACCGUAUCAAGUUUAACUUUCCAGAUACUCUUUUCCUAUUGGCCAUUGGCAGUAGUUCUUAAUUAGAUUGGUUAUUUUACCAUUGAAGGACAAAUGUUUGUACCUCGCUAUAAUGGUGAGCGUGAUUUUUCCUUAUCAUGAGCUAUUCAAUUAUCAAAAUAAAUCGCGCAGUCAUUUCAAGAACUUGGUCACACCUCCUCUAUAUUACUUGGAUCGGCUGAGACUUUUCCGACCUUUGAUGAUAUCAGUGUUCGAUAUGUUAAACUGAAACCUUGUGUGUAUGUAGCUAAGCUUCAUCCCGUUGAUAUGUCAAAGGGAAGAGGCGGUGAAUCUCUACUAGUUUGCCGUCAGCGAAUAGGUGACAAUUCUGACGAUUUCGAUGUUUGGUCUCCAAGACAUGUUGGACCCGAUUCUUUAGAAAUGGGUGCGAUUUUUUUAUUUGGAUACCUAAAUCCGCUUGGCGAUAAAAGUGAUGAUCGCUACAGAGAUGAUUUAUACUAGUAAUACAGCUGUUGGUUUAUUGUAUUUGGCCAAUGAGUUGAUUGCAGAUCAGAGCUGACUCGGGUUUAUAAUAAGUUAGUCAGAUAACUUUUUCUUCCUGUGUGAUGCGUUGAUCCGAGAAAUCAUGUUCGAAAAUACGCAGUAUAGGUUUUCUAUCUAUGUAACCGUCUAGUUGCACUACACUGUCCUAUUCUCCCUACGACCCUUUGACCAGUAACCGUUGAAAUGCUCAUCAAUGUAAAGAUGUUUGCCCAUUCGCGAUAAAUCUUUACGAUGUAUCUCGUUAUCAUUCUCCGACGACAAACUUUUACACACACCCUUCCGUGAGGUAGCGCAUGAACCCGAGCAAAGGAUUGAUUGCAGUUGAUGUAUGAUGAAGCGAAAACUUACGAUAGACUAAACAAGCAAACGAAAAAAAAAAACGGGCGAGCCAAGAUCACAGGAUUCGAAGUAAGAUAACUUGAAUCCUUAUCUGACAGAAAGCUCAUCAUCAUUCAGUACUCUACAAAAGAAGCAGAAUCUGACUAUACCGUGUCCGUACCACGUACCGUAUGAAGUAUAGCAAUUUAGCUACGAGCUAGAAAUUUAUUUUG